GUGGGGAAUUUUGGACAAUGGGCGAAAGCCUGAUCCAGCAAUGCCGCGUGCAGGAUGAAGGCCUUCGGGUUGUAAACUGCUUUUGUACGGAACGAAAAAGCUUCUCCUAAUACGAGAGGCCCAUGACGGUACCGUAAGAAUAAGCACCGGCUAACUACGUGCCAGCAGCCGCGGUAAUACGUAGGGUGCGAGCGUUAAUCGGAAUUACUGGGCGUAAAGCGUGCGCAGGCGGUUAUGUAAGACAGAUGUGAAAUCCCCGGGCUCAACCUGGGAACUGCAUUUGUGACUGCAUGGCUAGAGUACGGUAGAGGGGGAUGGAAUUCCGCGUGUAGCAGUGAAAUGCGUAGAUAUGCGGAGGAACACCGAUGGCGAAGGCAAUCCCCUGGACCUGUACUGACGCUCAUGCACGAAAGCGUGGGGAGCAAACAGGAUUAGAUACCCCGGUAGUCC
rnacentral:rRNA from 1 species